UACGGAGGGUGCAAGCGUUAUCCGGAUUCACUGGGUUUAAAGGGUGCGUAGGUGGGUUGCUAAGUCCGUGGUGAAAUCUCCGAGCUUAACUCGGAAACUGCCGUGGAUACUAUCAAUCUUGAAUACUGUGGAGGUAAGCGGAAUAUGUCAUGUAGCGGUGAAAUGCGUAGAUAUCAAGUGGAACACCAGUGGCGAAGGCGAAUCCCUGGAAAAUACCUGACACUGAGGCACGAAAGCUAGGGGAGCAAACAGG
rnacentral:rRNA from 1 species